rnacentral:rRNA from 1 species
AAGUGGAAGUGCCGUGAGGCAUGGAGCGGACCAUUACUAAUCGGUCGAGGACUUAACCAAG